rnacentral:rRNA from 1 species
GACGAACGCUGGCGGCGUGCCUAAUACAUGCAAGUCGAACGCAGUGGGGACGGGUGAGUAACACGUGGGUAACCUCCCAUCAGAGGCGAUAACACUUGGAAACAGGUGCUAAACCGCUACCUAUGGAUGGACCCGCGUUGCAUUAGCUAGGUGGGGAGGUAACGGCUCACCAAGGCCACGAUGCAUAGCCGACCUGAGAUGGUGAUCGGCCACACUGGGACUGAGACACGGCCCAGAUUCCUACGGGAGCAGCAGUAGGGAAUCUUCGGCAAUUGACGAAAUUCUGACCGAGCGACGCAGCGUGAGUGAAGAAGGUUUUCGGAUCGUAAAACUCUGUUGUUAGAGUAUCGGUAUCUAACCAGAAAGCCACGGCUAACUACGUGCCAGCAGCCGCGGUAAUUC